rnacentral:rRNA from 1 species
UACGAAGGGGGCUAGCGUUGGUUCGGAAUCACUGGGCGUAAAGCGCAUGCAGGCGGAUUGUUAAGUCGGGGGUGAAAUCCCGAGGCUCAACCUCGGAACUGCCUUCGAUACUGGCAAUCUUGAGUCCGGGAGAGGUGAGUGGAACUGCGAGUGUAGAGGUGAAAUUCGUAGAUAUUCGCAAGAACACCAGUGGCGAAGGCGGUUCACUGGCCCGGUACUGACGCUGAGGUGCGAAAGCGUGGGGAGCAAACAGGG